rnacentral:rRNA from 1 species
AGAUGGCGACCGGCGCAGGGUGAGUAACACGUAUCCAACCUGCCGAUAACUCGGGGAUAGCCUUUCGAAAGAAAGAUUAAUACCCGAUGGUAUAAUCAGACCGCAUGGUUUGAUUAUUAAAGAAUUUCGGUUAUCGAUGGGGAUGCGUUCCAUUAGGCAGUUGGUGAGGUAACGGCUCACCAAACCUUCGAUGGAUAGGGGUUCUGAGAGGAAGGUCCCCCACAUUGGAACUGAGACACGGUCCAA